GCCCGAACGCCAUGAGGGUAGGGGAAGCCUGGCAGUCUUUGCCCUUUGUUUGUGAGCUUCAGUGGUUAUUGUCCAAGCAUUGCCGCGUAGGUGCUGGAACUCAUGAGAGAAAUGCUCAUAAUCUGCAACUGGAGGACAUACAUACCAGAUAAGCAGCCCACUGAACGGCAUGUACCCACUCCCUGCAAGUUAACAACAGAGAGUGGGUAAUAAAAGCCCAUAUCUCACACAAUCCUUUUCUACACACACUACACCACCUACACACAAGCUUUACCCCUACACACACUAUACACACACACAUAGUAAACACAUAUAUCAACACCGAUUAUACAUUGUAAAUGCACACUUUAUUCCUUAUACACACUACACAACAGCCCCUAUACACAUACACUUAACUCCCUACAUAUACACAGUACUUUUCUACACACACGCUAUACCACCUACACACAAGCUAUACCCCCUAAACACACUAUACACACACAUAAUAAACACAUAUAUCAACACAGACACAAACUAUACAUUGUAUAUUCCUUAUACAGUUACAUAGGCUGAAAAGAGAUGUGUGUCGAUCAAGUUCAGUCUUUCUCACAUUAGUUUUUUGCUGUUGAUCCCUUUUUUUGUUUUGC